GACGAACGCUGGCGGCGCGCUUAACACAUGCAAGUCGAACGGAAAGGCCUGCUUUCCCUUGUGGAUUGCGGGUACUCGAGUGGCGAACGGGUGAGUAACACGUGAGUGAUCUGCCCCCAACUUGGGUAUAAGCCUGGGAAACUGGGUCUAAUUCCCGAUAGGACUGCAGGGUGGUGCCUGUGGUGGAAAACGAUUUUCUAGUGGUUGGGGAUGAGCUCGCGGCCUAUCAGCUUGUUGGUGGGGUAAUGGCCUACCAAGGCGGCGACGGGUAGCCGGCCUGAGAGGGUGGACGGCCACAUUGGGACUGAGAUACGGCCCAGACUCCUACGGGAGGCAGCAGUGGGGAAUAUUGCACAAUGGGCGGAAGCCUGAUGCAGCGACGCCGCGUGGGGGAUGCCGGCCUUCGGGUUGUAAACUCCUUUCGACCGCGAGGAAGCCACCUGGUUGGAAGGGUGGUGACGGUAGUGGUAGAAGAAGCACCGGCUAACUACGUG
rnacentral:rRNA from 1 species